rnacentral:lncRNA from 1 species
AUCUUUUUUUUUUUUUCAAUUUACUAAGUGUCGAGCGAUUAUUCUGGAUCACGAUUCCACGCUCUCUAAUAUUUGCUGUGCCGAAUUUAAACUUUAACUCGAUCUAUUUUUCGAUUGUGAAGUGCCUGUGAACUCGUUUCAAUCGACUGAAGUAGCGACUGUCGGUGCUGGACGUGAUGGACAGAAUGUGCGUGUAUAGGCGUUGUGUAUUUUUAAAUAUUCGUUUAGUAGUGAUUCAUUAGGUGAUGCAAUAGCUUCGCAAAUCAAUUUUUCAUUUCCGCUGAAAGGUGUUCAGUAUGACUGCUAAAUAGAAAGAGGGUUAUGAUAGUUUUGGAUGGAAUAAUAUGUUAACAAUAGGGUGGUUCAGUUUAAGUUUAGUUAUUGACAAAUCUAAAUUUUACUUAUUCGAGGAUGAUGGUGGGUUGUUCUUCUGUCUUUUGAGAUGACACCUCAAUCAAGUUAUUUGGGUUUUGUCGCAACUUAUCAUCUUUGCGAAGGCGGAACUGCUCACGUAUGGAAACAAUUUUUUCUCCGAGAAAAGCUAAAAGGGAAAGGCUCAAUCCAACCGAUAAAACGACAAAUGCGCCAGUCAAAUUUUUCAGGGACAGGGGUGACAGUUUCUUUGUUUUGUUUCCAGUUUGGGGUUUUCCGGUACAUUGAGGAGGCAUUGGACGGAACCAAGUGUCCCAGAAGUUGACCAGGGCAAUUUCUUGCAGAUUCAAUAUUCUAUUUUCAUUGUGCCAAAGAAUGAAACCAAAAUUCCAGUAAUUAACAAAAUCUUAUCUCAUCUAUUGAAGCUAGCUGUACCAGCUUACCCUUGCUGCAUGCUUUGCGUGUAGGGACUGUUUUUCUGUAGAACAAGCGUCGACAUAAUGGCAAUGAACUCUUCUUUUGCUAUUUGCAAGUUGCACUUUCCAGUCUUUUUAAAAUCAUUCCUGAUCGCGUCUUUGAGAAAAAGAACAGCAAACUAACUAUAUUUUACCUCGAGGAAUACGAUUUUAGAUUCUGGUUUAUUAUGGCGGAUACAGUCUGACACUGUUGCGCAUCGAGAGUUUGGAAAGGAGUCGAUUUUUUCCCUUAAAUUCCCGAACAGGCCCGUGUAAUUGUUGGACUGUUGCACGUUACAAUUAAUAUAGUAUUCAUAGAUCCGGAUUCCCUGACCAGUAAAUUGAUGUCGCCAUUGUUGAUAACGUCGUAGACAGAAUCGACUAGGGGAUGACUGAUUGGCGUCACGACAUAAGUGAAGAGAGUCGACGUGUAGGCCUGGACGAAGACGAAAGCGGCCAAGAUCCAAACGCCUGCGACCACUCGUCAUUUGGUAUCCGUGUGUGGAACCUUGCGACAGCAAAUUGCCGAAGACGUAAAGAUACUGUUGUCUGGUUUCCCAUUUGGCAGCCGUUAGAUUGUAGUUUUGUCUAAAUGUCGCUUCAAUCAUGGAUCGAUAUUGCAAGUAGCGCUGGAUUAAAUUUAAAACUACGAUGACGCAAACGAUCGAAAUCCCCAGUCCUAACCAAACCUGGUGAUCGAAUAAAAUUAGAUGCUGUUUAAUAAGAAAUAUCGUGGCAAGUUAUUUCAAUUUUCCAACCGGCCAUUGAAAUGGUUUGACGACGGCGUUGAUGUUGGCCGAUUCAUCAGGGACGGGAAUGAGGAAAGCGAAAUGAUCGUAAAUCCACGGCAAUGUGAAAUCUACGACCGAAUUGUACUGGAAGCUCGCGCUCGUAUCGUGGACCAGCAAAUCGGAUUGCUGUGAAAGAGAAUGGAAUGAACUUAACUUGAUUCGACAAAUAGCUAAAAAGUCCUGGUCCUUUUUCUGAUGGCUCAGGUUUGUUUUCCGUCACUCGAACCAUUUCGUACCUGUAUGGAUAAUGAAAUAAGGUAAUGUGUUAGACGUCAGUCGAGUCACUUUCUUUUUUUGUUGGUUACGUGAAAUUUAAACGUUGCGAUAAGAAUUCGAGGAGUACUCCUCCCUUGAGUGGUCCAAUUAUUCCUUUAGGGUUUCCACUCCAACGUGUCUGUACCGCAUCAUUAUAGGUUAAUUCAACUUUAUUUUCAACAUUGAAUCGCACUAAAUCGUUGGUGUUUUCCUACCCAAAUGACGCGGAGGUGUUGGCCGUUGAGUGUGUUUGCCAUUGAUGAGGAACUGGGAAU